GAUGAAGAACGCAGCGAAAUGCGAUAAGUAAUGUGAAUUGCAGAAUUCAGUGAAUCAUCGAAUCUUUGAACGCACAUUGCGCCCCCUGGUAUUCCGGGGGGCAUGCCUGUCCGAGCGUCAUUACAACCCUCAAGCUCAGCUUGGUGUUGGGCCCCGCCGCCCCGGCGGGCCCUAAAGUCAGUGGCGGUGCCGUCCGGCUCCGAGCGUAGUAAUUCUUCUCGCUCUGGAGGUCCGGUCGUGUGCUCGCCAGCAACCCCCAAUUUUUUUCAGGUUGACCUCGGAUCUGGUAGGGAUACCCGCUGAACUUAAGCAUAUCAAUAAGCGGAGGA
rnacentral:misc_RNA from 1 species